rnacentral:rRNA from 1 species
AUUGAACGCUGGCGGCAUGCCUUACACAUGCAAGUCGAACGGCAGCAUGAUCUCGCUUGCUCGAUUGAUGGCGAGUGGCGAACGGGUGAGUAAUACAUCGGAACGUGCCCUGUAGUGGGGGAUAACUAGUCGAAAGAUUAGCUAAUACCGCAUACGACCUGAGGGUGAAAGUGGGGGACCGCAAGGCCUCAUGCUAUAGGAGCGGCCGAUGUCUGAUUAGCUAGUUGGUGAGGUAAAGGCUCACCAAGGCGACGAUCAGUAGCUGGUCUGAGAGGACGAUCAGCCACACUGGGACUGAGACACGGCCCAGACUCCUACGGGAGGCAGCAGUGGGGAAUUUUGGACAAUGGGCGAAAGCCUGAUCCAGCAAUGCCGCGUGUGUGAAGAAGGCCUUCGGGUUGUAAAGCACUUUUGUCCGGAAAGAAAUGGCUCUGGUUAAUACCUGGGGUAGAUGACGGUACCGGAAGAAUAAGGACCGGCUAACUACGUG